UUUCCUCUGUAAGCCCCACACAGGCACACGCACAGGGAGAACGAGAGAAAAUCCUCUCUUUCACUCUCAUCUUCUCCUUCCUCUCCAAACUUGGAGAUUUUGGUGGAGAUAGAGCUUGAGAAGCUCGGAGGAGUGGUGAAUCGAGCUUUAGCGCGUGUAGCACCUCAGGAAAGUUGCAAUCCGAGGUUCGAAAGGGAGCGAUUGGCCGCGGGAGUUCGAUUGCAAUGCUUCAUCGAAGUGAUUAGGUAUGUGUGGCUCUCCUCUCCCGACAGCAGGUUACACUUAUGGGUAUGUGUGGUUCUCCUCGCUCGGCAGCGAUUCCUGAUUACGGGUAUGUGUGGUUCUCCUCACCCGAUAAGCGACUUAUGACCAAGAUUAUGUGUGGUAUUUCCUCGUCCGACAAAUGACCUAUAGUCGAGUGGAUUUAAGGCAGCGGUGUAUGGGGCACGUUCCUCUCCUCAGGCCUGAACGAGAGCGGUAGUCUGCUGAUGAUUAACUCGAGACCAAGUAGAGUGGUAUAGCUUGGUGAAGGUAAGACAACCAUAGGAGCGGAUUGGAAAUGAGAUGGAUAGUGAAAUAGAAAGUAGACAAUGUAGA